AGAUGAAAAGAUGAGGCUGAAAAUGAAACGAAAUGUCGACUUGCGCAUCUUUGCAUAAUAUUAUUUGCAAGGAAAAAAGUGAACUUCAUUUUUCCCGCCUGCGUAAUAACCUUGCUCUGAUUGGUCGCAAGAGAAACCCUUGAAAUAAGCAAGUAACAUCGAGCCUUACAUUUUGUAUACAAAAAGUAAAUUGUUUUUUUUGAUUGUUCACGUUUUAUGAUUUAAAUUGGUUUCAAUUGCUCAUUUUGAUCGUAUUUUAUCAAAUAUAUUGUUUAUUAUCUGCUUAUAACUCUUUUAAUUGUGACUUAGGUUAAUUAUUAAGUCUAUUCCCUUUUCAUUUUACUGUUUAAACGUUUGAUGUUAACUCCUGGCUUUUUCUGGUUUCAUCUUUUCAAUUUCUGGUUUUAUUUUCGCGUUUUCACUGUUUUCUAGUUUUUUUUGGUUAAUUUUUCGUUUUGAUUUCUUUUGCUUUACUUAUUAGGUUUCACCUUUUGAAUGUUGUAAACAAAUGGUAUAACUGAUAUAAAUAGCAUAAAAAUGCAUAAAUGGAUUGGUAUAAGUACAUCAAAGGAUAUUACUAGAUUAAUCAUUUAAUAUGGAUAUGACGAUUGCGGAACAAUUCAGAUUGAUAAUUAAUCCAAUGAAAACUAUGGUGAUGAUGUAAAUAAAUAUAGAAGUCUGAAUUGAUGUGAAUGCUGAUCGCGAAAAGGAAUGGAAAAGAUAAAUUGCAAUCUAUUAUUAUAUUAUUAUAAUUUCUCUUUGUUUGUAUUGUACAUUUCGAGUCAAUGAGAAUUUUGAGAAUAGAAAUGGAAUCAAUUGAAAAUGGUGAAAAGAUGGAAAGGACAACACUAAAAAAGAGAAGUACAAGUUGAAUACAAAAGUAGAAAUUUUGAUUUUCCUUGAGUUGAAGAUUAUUUGAUGGUUCCUUUUAUGAUUUAUCGAUUUCACAGGUAUUCUGGUUUUAUAUAAAUUACUUGGAAAGUAUUGCAUAUAUCAUUAGCAUCAGAAAAGGUGGAAAUGGUUUACAGAUUUCAAUGUUGAUAACCAUUGGUCUUGAUCCUGGGUAAAUCAGGCUUAUUGAGAAGCUGCACCGUUAAACCAGUUUAUCAUCAUUUAGGAUGAUUCGGGAAUUAGUCUAUUGUGCUAUUGGUUUGGAAAAUGAAAUGUAACCAAUGAUCAAGUUAUUUGGGGUUAACUUUAAUGAACUUCAACUGCAUUCAUCAUUUUGGGUAAAACCAUUUAAAUUUUAUUUGAUUUCACCGCUAAUCCCAAACGGAUGCACUCGUAAUUAUGAACCUGAGCAGCCACACUCGGAGUGCACUGACAAGUACGGCAUACGAACCGUUUACAAAAAAUGAAAUAAUAGUGAAAAUUGAAUUAAAUUAAAUUAUAGUUUGAAAAAUGAAAAGGUGAAGAAACAAUUUGAGUAAAGUUAAGUCAUUAGGGAAAGUAAACCUCGAUUACCUCGAACCUUACCUCGAUUGUUUCCGACAAUAAUUAAUGAAAAUUAAACUGUUUGAUGAA